CAUAUGAUCAUCAUCAUUUAACAGAUUGAAAUCAUAUUUUUCAUCACAUUCUUUCUUUAUUACUUCAAAUUUUUCAUCCAUUUCUUGCCUUAAUUCUUUUAAUAUUUCCUCCUUUAAUUGUUUCUUUAUUAUCUUUGAAAAUUCUUCAAACCUUUUAUCCAUUUCUUGAUCUAUGUAUUCACUGUCUAAAGGGUCAAGCCCCUUUAGAAGGCAUUCUUGAUAUGUCUUAUAUUUCGGGGAUUCUUCUUUCUUUAUAUUGUUUGAGCUUGAUGCCUCCCCCUUUGUGGGAGUUGGUGAAGCAGGUAUGCCUCUUUUCAUUUGGAUAUAGUUUUUAGCCUUUGGGUCAAUAUAAUAAUCUGGUCCUAAUACCUUCCUUGCCCAAAGUAAGGCCUCAUCUAUACUGUAAUAUAUUUUGAAUGUUAAAUCUUGUCCAUUUCUUUUUGCAUCUAAUUUUUCAAUCAUAAUAUUCUCCCAUUCCAAAUAUAUGCCAGGUUUGUUUCCAUCAAAUAUAAGAUAUAGAGUUUCUCCUUUUGGUAUUUCAACCUUUGCUGGCUUUGGCACAUUUUUGUUUAAUUCAUUAAAAUAUUCAGCCAAACUGUUGAGAAUUGAUAAAAAAUAUCCUUGUUCCUCUCUUUUGCGAGUAUAUUGGAACCAAAAGUUAUCCAAUAUGCAUCUUUGAGCUUCAUCGAGCUUAAUAUGGGAUUUUGGCUUAAAAUUGAAUGUAUUUGGCUGAAACAUUUUCAGCCUAUUUUCUUCUCCAAAGAAGAGAUAUUCAUCCUUGUUGGCGAAUAAUCCUUUCCUCAUUCCUGCAAAUUUGAUGCACGAGAAAAUAUGUCAGAAUUCAAGGGGAUCUGGACUUGUGCUAUAUUCAUCAUCUAAAUUAGAUAUUUCUACAUUUUGCAAGGACUUUCUUUGUUUUCGCACUUCAGAUAUGUAUGGAACAUUAUCUUGAUAAGGAAUAAAUGUUACCCCCUCUUCAUGUAUGAUUGUGGUUUGUAAAGAUUGUUGUAAAAAUCUUAACCCUAUUAUCAUGUCAUCAUUUAUUA